UUAAAAUUAUUAAAUAUCAAUGCCGUUGCACAGUUUAUACUGAAGAAUUAUAGAGAUAUAUAUUCGAAAACGGAUGUAUUCAUACACUUUUAAUAAUUCUAAGUAUUAUUAUUGUUUUAAAUUACAGGACCUUUUUUACCGGAAGAUGCAGAAUUUAACAAUGUAUCUAUAUUUAGAUCAAAAGAAAAGCAAAUGUACAUAAAUGCAUUGUUGGAAACACUAACUAAGUAUUACCAUCUUCGUCUUUUUUUGAAACAAAUAUUGAUACGAACAUGGGCUUUUUGUUGGAUGCUGAAUAUCGCAUAAAUGAUGAAUAUAAAUUUGUAAAAGUGGAAGAUUGGAAUGAACAGUCGAAUAAUGUACAAAGGAUAGCAAUAAUG